AUUGAACGCUGGCGGCAUGCUUUACACAUGCAAGUCGAACGGUAGCAGGCCUUCGGGUGCUGACGAGUGGCGAACGGGUGAGUAAUGCAUCGGAACGUGCCCAGAGGUGGGGGAUAACGCAGCGAAAGCUGUGCUAAUACCGCAUGUGAUCUGAGGAUGAAAGCGGGGGACCAGGCAGCAAUGUUUGGCCUCGCGCCUUUGGAGCGGCCGAUGUCAGAUUAGGUAGUUGGUGGGGUAAAGGCCUACCAAGCCGACGAUCUGUAGCUGGUCUGAGAGGACGACCAGCCACACUGGGACUGAGACACGGCCCAGACUCCUACGGGAGGCAGCAGUGGGGAAUUUUGGACAAUGGGCGCAAGCCUGAUCCAGCAAUGCCGCGUGCGGGAAGAAGGCCUUCGGGUUGUAAACCGCUUUUGUACGGAACGAAAAGGCUCUGGCUAAUACCUGGGGCUGAUGACGGUACCGUAAGAAUAAGCACCGGCUAACUACGUG
rnacentral:rRNA from 1 species